rnacentral:lncRNA from 1 species
CAACUUUUUUGGUUAAUUUAGAUUCCUGGUGCAUGCAUAUAUGAAUCAUACAAAAAAAGUCAGAAUCCAAUACAGGGAGUACAAAGUUACACUUUUUUUUUAUUUCAUUUUAUACUAUUGGAUCCAACCUUCUUGUGUGGUAUCUCAAUUUUAAAAAAUAAAAAUAAAACGAGAUAAUAAUAUUAUUACAGCUUACCGUGUUUUAUAGUUUGGACGAGAAAAGGCAGGACCUUUUUACAUGCAAUGUCACUAGUCAACAGGACUGGAAUGUUCGCCUGUUUAUCCUGGUGAAAAUCAAAACGCUAUCAUUGUUAACAUUUCUCAGCAUAAAGCCUUCAUCUUUUGUGCAAACAAAUUUUAAAUUAACAGGCCUGGUUUGCAGGACUGGAUCCUUGAAAGCCAGCAAGGUUUUAUACAAUCCAACAUUGCAGAUCAAUGCACAUAUAGGUAUAAUUCUCGACCCAGAACAACAUUCUUGUAAACUCUAAAUCCUGACUCUCACCCAACUAAUCAAUCUUCUCUAAAGAAAAACUUCAACUUAAUACAGAAACCAAAACAUGAACUCCAACAAAUUUCAAGAAAUGCAAAUAAACAUAACUCAACUAGUCGAAAUCACAAGCCAUUUGGAAAACAAUAGAAUCAGUCAAACAUGCAAUAGAAUAAACAAAUAAUAGAACCACAUUGAAAAAAUUUUCAUUUGUUCAAUCGAACAUGCAAUAGAAUCAGUCAAAGAAAAGCCGAAUGGAAAACGCUAGAAACGAAUCAAAAUUAGGAGAACAAAAACAAAUAUUCCAGAUUUGAGCAAAAGCAAAACUAAAUUGAUUUUACAGAAAAGAAAAGAAAAGAAAAGAAAAACAGGGAAAGAGUGCGAGCAUUUUUCAUUUUUGAUAAAAUGGAGAAAAGAAAAGAAACGUGAGAAGAAAAGAAACAUAUGAGAAGAAGAAGCAGAAAUCAAUGGAAAGGAAAAAAAAUUUACCUUGCAAUAUGGAAGGGAAAUGUCGGAGAGGAUGAAGCUGAUGAGGGCAGAAAACGAAAAAGAAAAUGAGAAUUGGGGGGGAAUCCCUAAUCGGCGCUGAAGGGGGGAUGGCUAUUAUAGCCAAUGGGGGUAAUAGGGGCGGAACAGAAUCGGGCUGUAAUAACAUUACAGCCAACCAAACGCCCGUUUGGUGGUGGGCCCGGGGAAUUGGGGGGAUUUCAAAUUCCCACCCAUUGUGUUUGCGGUAUGGAGCCAGCGUCAGUCGAGUAUGACAUGUGCUUUUUAGGGCAUGCCACUUUAGCACAGGUAUUUCUACAUACCCCCCACUAUGCCCGAUAUUCUAAGAAAAGUCCCCUUUUACAUAGAAG